rnacentral:lncRNA from 1 species
CUUGGGCACACCUGGGUGUUGUGGGUGGCAUCGGAGUGACUCCCUGCUCCUGGACCUCACAGAGAGUGACUUUGCCCAUGGCAGAUGUUGAGCUGCAGGACAUCUCGAAGGUGUAAGAAGACAGUGCGGCCUUCCUCUGAUGGCCAGGCCUGCAGAUGGAGGACUCUCCACAUUCCCGUGCUUCAACGGCUCCUCCUACAUGUUCCUCGUGAUGUCAUGCAGUUCCACAUAAGUUGGUUGACCUUUCAGGUGAAACAGCAAGAGAAGAGAAAGAAGAAAAUAACAAGGAUCCCCCAUAAUUUUCAGACAGCAGGCGUCUCUUUACUUGCUGCUUUGUCCAGACACAGGUCAUUUCUCAGGGCUUUGGGUUCCUCUGCCAUCACUGAGGCUGCAGAGGAGACUCUGUAACUAGGGAGAGAAGCAAAACAAAUGGGGACGACCCCCUGAUUCCUGGACAUGCAAGGCCCCUCUUUCCCACUAGACUGAUUAGAAAUAAGGAGUUAGUCCCAGAGUUUUCACUGUCGGCGGCUGCUGGACUUCACCUUCCCUGGGUAAGCUGGGAGACAGGAGGGUGUACACCCAAAGUGAGACUGUUAGAUCAUGCCAGCUGAAGUAAGCCGGUCACAGAAGGACCAGUAUUGCCUGAUUCCACUUAUACGAGCAUGUGUUGACCACCUACUAUGUGCCAGGCACUGUGUUGGGCGCUGAGGAUUCCACUGGACAGAGCUGGUUCCUGCCUUCAAGGAACACCAUGUCCUCGCAGAUGCUAACAACACAUCACACACUCAGCCUCCACAGCAGCCAAGCAGCCAAGCAGCCCUUCGACAUGGAGGCAGCAGACCUGGAGGAAGUCGGACACGUUAGCAACCUGCCUGCUCUGAUGGAUCCGGACAACGAUGCUAAUAGAGUGGUUAUUGGCUAUUUUGCGUUGCUAUUUCUUGGUGCAGUGCAGCAGGAUUUCAGAGAAACCCACUGGAGACCACCUGGAAUCCACACUGAACUGGUCCUUGGUCCAGUGUGGGCCCUUGAGCCCCUCCAGCGUCACGGCACUCUGCAGGUGCCCUGGUGAGUUUCUCCUGAAACCCAGACCUCCUUAUUUAAGCCAUAGGUCCCAACAUUUACUUGAGCUGUGUCAAGUCUUACAACUAGGUCUUUUAAGGAGGUGCCAGUAAAUUUCCUAGGUAAGAGGAACCUAGGGGGAAUUUUCUAGGCCAGGGGAGCCUAGGGGAACUUUGGAGUGAUUGGG